rnacentral:misc_RNA from 1 species
GUGAAUCAUCGAAUUUUUGAACGCAAAUUGCACUCUCUUCGGAGAGUAUGCCUGUUUGAGGGUCAGCCUAAAAAAAUCGACAUAGUUUCUGUUUUCGCGGUGACAUUCGUCGGAAAUUGGGUCAUCUUAAACCUUUUGGUUUUAAGCGACUUAAAAUUUUCUUUACGAUUCCACGAACGUUUCUAAGAUAUUUACUUCUUACACGUUUAGGUUAUGGAUCUUUUUUGAACUGAUCAUUU